rnacentral:rRNA from 1 species
AUUGAACGCUGGCGGCAGGCCUAACACAUGCAAGUCGAACGAGUGGCGGACGGGGGAGUAAUGUCUGGGAAACUGCCCGAUGGAGGGGGAUAACUACUGGAAACGGUAGCUAAUACAGCAUACCAUCGGAUGUGCCCAGAUGGGAUUAGCUAGGAGGGGGGGUAAUGGCUCACCUAGGCGACGAUCCCUAGCUGGUAUGAGAGGAUGACCAGCCACACGUGACCUGGGACACGGUCCAUACGCCUACGGUAGGCAGCAGUGGGGAAUAUUGCACAAUGGGCGCGAGCCUGAUGCAGCCAUGCCGCGUGUAUGAAGAAGGCCUUCGGGUUGUAAAGUACUUUCAGCGGGGAGGCGUUACCCGCAGAAGAAGCACCGGCUAACUCCGUGCCAGCAGCCGCGGUAAUUC